GUCCACGCUGUAAACGAUGGAUACUCGCUGUGGCUGGUAUUGACCCCGGCCGUAGCCAAGUUAACACGUUAAGUAUCCCGCCUGGGGAGUACGGUCGCAAGAUUAAAACUCAAAGGAAUUGACGGGGGCCCGCACAAGCGGUGGAUUAUGUGGUUCAAUUCGAAGCAACGCGCAAAACCUUACCUAGCCUUGACAUGCACCGGAAUGGUCCUGGAAACAGGCCAGUCCCGCAAGGGACCGGUGACACAGGUGCUGCAUGGCUGUCGU
rnacentral:rRNA from 1 species